AGAGUUUGAUCCUGGCUCAGGACGAACGCUGGCGGCGUGGAUUAGGCAUGCAAGUCGAACGGUAUGGCACCUUCGGGUGUCAGAGAGUGGCGAACGGGUGAGUAACACGUAGGUUAUCUACCCUCAAGAUCGGGACAACCCAGGGAAACUUGGGCUAAUACCGGAUGUGAGCAUCCUUUUUUGGAUGUUUGAAAGGUGGCUUUUAGCUGUCGCUUGAGGAUGAGCCUGCGUCCUAUUAGUUAGUUGGUGAGGUAAUGGCUCCCCAAGGCUAUGAUAGGUAGGCGGCCUUAACGGGUGGUCGCCCACACUGGGAUUGAGAUACGGCCCAGACUCCUACGGGAGGCAGCAGUCGAGAAUAGUCUACAAUGGCCGAAAGGCUGAUAGUGCGACGCCGCGUGAACGAGGAAGCCCUUCGGGGUGUAAAGUUCUUUUAUAUGUGAGCAGUGCCGGUCAUAUUAAUAGUAUGAUUGGAGCGAUAUUAGCAUAUGAAUAAGCAACGGCUAACUCCGUGCCAGCAGCCGCGGUAACACGGGGGUUGCGAGCGUUGUCCGGAAUUACUAGGCGUAAAGGGCAGGCAGGCGGACCUGCAAGUUUUCUGUUAAAGACGUCAGCUCAACUGGCGCACGGCAGGAGAUACUGCAGAUCUUGAAUGCGGUUGGGGAAGACAGAAUUCCUGGUGUAGCGGUGGAAUGCGCAGAGAUCAGGAGGAAUACCAAAGGCGAAGGCAGUCUUCCAAGCCGUUAUUGACGCUCAACUGCGAAGGUGUGGGUAUCAAACAGGAUUAGAUACCCUGGUAGUCCACACAGUAAACGAUGAUCACUAGGUGUCGGUUUCGUAAUAGGAUUCGGUGCCGUAGCUAACGCGUUAAGUGAUUCGCCUGGGGAGUACGAUCGCAAGGUUGAAACUCAAAGGAAUUGACGGGGGCCCGCACAAGCGGUGGAGCAUGUGGUUUAAUUCGAGGCAACGCGAAGAACCUUACCC
rnacentral:rRNA from 1 species